UAAAGACAAGUUGUAAAUUACAUAGGCAGAAAUAUGAGGGAGAAAGGCCUAUAAAUUCAUAGCCAUUCAUGAAGCAAAACAUUGCAUUGCAAUAACACAUAAUUCUCUUAUAUAUCUCUCUCUCUUGUCAUGGCUCGCAAUUAUGCUUUCUAUUUCACUUUUGCGCUUUUGGUGAUGUCUGUUUAUUUGGCUCACUCUCCAAGAGUGAAAGUAGUUGCUGUGAGAGACUUGUCGCCGACUAUAACAGAACUCAAAUCAAAACUAACUGGUUAUAACCUGAUGGGUGGUUGCGGUGGAUACUGUCGGAGGAGCACUGAUUGCCUUGAUAGGACAUGUCCCCGUUGUUACUACGAUGUUAUUAAACUUACCUAUGGCUGCCACGCGUAAAGGAUCGAUCACUGAUGGCCAACACAAUAUGAGUUCUGUUCUAAGUAUGAGAUGAUGUUUGCAUGGUUUAUUGUCUUUGCUUUCAUGUUUUCCUUUUCUAGCUUUUUCCCUUAAA